AUGACAAAGUUAACUGGGAUUUUCUUCUGGAAUGUCAUAAGUUGCAUGGCCUUAACGAAACCUGGUGCGGUUGGGUCAAACAAAUUCUUUAUAAGGGCAUCGUCAACAUUAAGCUCAAUAAUAGUGUGGGCCCCUACUUCCAGAGUGCUAAAGGGGUGCGGCAGGGUGACCCACACUCUCCAUUCCUGUUUAAUCUUGCUGUUGAGUGUCUGA
rnacentral:rRNA from 1 species